CCGCGCCUCCACGCUCGCCACCUGUUCCAAAACUGAGAAUUCAUGAUAUAUAUCUAUAAAUUAUUAUUAUUAUUAUAAUAGCAUAUAUGUCAGGAACUUAAAAAAAUUCUAUGCAGUCUGACCUCUGGCUCAACUUCGCAAGCGGGCUCCGAAUCCAGCCCGUUGUGAGAGAACCAGGAGUUGCAAACCGGCUACCAAUAUGCUCUGUUAUCUCUUAGAAAAAACCGCCAAUGCCGUAGAGACUUUUCGGCUUAACAUUUCUGAAGGCUCAUUAUGUGUGAGUGAGUGAUAAAUUAUAAUGGCUAGAUUUAUUGUAUCUCUAGGUAUAUAAGUAGCGUGUGUAGCUAAGGCCUAAGUACACAAGUGUAUUGUAAUUUUCUUCUCUAAAUAUUCAGUUAAAAGAGUACUUCGUUUGGAUAGGGAAUAGAAAUAGGGAUAACCCCUUAUCCCUCCCUUUAUAUCCAAACGCUAAUUUUUUAUCCGAGAAUAAUAAUUCUCAGUUACCUAUAAUAACCGAAUAUAACUAUCCCUACCAACACAUUCAUUUUCUAUGUAAAACUACCUACUAUUUUUCUUAUUCUAUAUUAUGUAUUCAAACGUUAUUUUUCUUAUCCCCGGAAACAAUCCAAUUUUCAUCCAAACGCUAUUUUUCUUAUCCCCAUACUUAUACCUAUUCCUGUAAUAGCUGGUUCUUGCUUAUACCUUCGUUUUUUGAAUUAAUCUCUAUCUCUCUCUUUUCUUCCUUUUGCAUAUUUAGUCAUAAGAUGCGAAAGUCCGGACUAGCAACAGAGACAAAAACUUGUUUAUCUUUGCGGAAAAAAAUAGGCGUCAUACAGUCUUUGCGAACAAGAAAGCUAAGAUCGUGACAUAUAGCUACCUUGUCUCCAGAAGCACCUUCGAGAAGCACACAUGGGACUUGCAAGGGAGGCCUCAUGGAAGAAUUGAAAGCUCUUAAAUUUCACCGGUACUUCGUCAACAAUGGAAUUUGUCGGCAAUGUGAAGCGAGAAUCGGAAGCAAUAGAGAGUUUAACUGUGGUUACUCAUGUGAGGCAAAAUGUGCCGAUAAACAGAAUACUUCAGUAACAGUGAGCAGAUUUGUGAUAAGGCGGACAGCAUUGACUACUG
rnacentral:lncRNA from 1 species